rnacentral:rRNA from 1 species
CGCCUAAUACAUGCAAGUCGAACGAAGUAGCAAUACUUAGUGGCAGACGGGUGAGUAACAUGUGGGUAUCUUCCCUUUGGUGAGGAAUAACACGAGGAAACUUGUGCUAAUACCUCAUAAGUCUUUACGGAGAAAGCUUUAUGCGCCAUUGGAUGAGCCUGCACUUGAUUAGUUUGUUGGUGGGGUAAUGGCUUACCAAGACAAUGAUCAAUAGCUGAUUUGAGAGGAUGAUCAGCCACAUUGGGACUGAGACACGGCCCAAACUCCUACGGGAGGCAGCAGUAGGGAAUCUUGCACAAUGGGGGAAACCCUGAUGCAGCGAUGCCGCGUGAGUGAAGAAGGCCUUUGGGUUGUAAAGCUCUUUCGUCGGGGAAGAAAAUGACUGUACCCGAAUAAGAAGGUCCGGCUAACUUCGUGCCAGCAGCCGCGGUAAUACGAAGGGACCUAGCGUAGUUCGGAAUUACUGGGCUUAAAGAGUUCGUAGGUGGUUAAAAAAGUUGGUGGUGAAAUCCCAGAGCUUAACUCUGGAACUGCCAUCAAAACUUUUUAGCUAGAGUAUGAUAGAGGAAAGCAGAAUUUCUAGUGUAGAGGUGAAAUUCGUAGAUAUUAGAAAGAAUACCAAUUGCGAAGGCAGCUUUCUGGAUCAUUACUGACACUGAGGAACGAAAGCAUGGGUAGCGAAGAGGAUUAGAUACCCUCGUAGUCCAUGCCGUAAACGAUGUGUGUUAGACGUUGGAAAUUUAUUUUCAGUGUCGCAGCGAAAGCAAUAAACACACCGCCUGGGGAGUACGA